AUACGUAGGGGGCGAGCGUUGUCCGGAAUGAUUGGGCGUAAAGGGCGCGUAGGCGGCCCGGUAAGUCUGGAGUGAAAGUCCUGUUUUUAAGAUGGGAAUUGCUUUGGAUACUGUCGGGCUUGAGUGCAGGAGAGGUAAGUGGAAUUCCCAGUGUAGCGGUGAAAUGCGUAGAGAUUGGGAGGAACACCAGUGGCGAAGGCGUCUUACUGGGCUGUAACUGACGCUGAGGCGCGAAAGUGUGGGGAGCAAACAGGAUGAGAUACCCUGGUAGUCCACACUGUAAACGAUGAAUGCUAGGUGUAGGGGGUAUCGACCCCUUCUGUGCCGCAGUCAACACAAUAAGCAUUCCGCCUGGGGAGUCCGGCCGCAAGGUUGAAACUCAAAGGAAUUGACGGGU
rnacentral:rRNA from 1 species